GACAGGUGGUGCAUGGUUGUCGUCAGCUCGUGUCGUGAGAUGUUGGGUUAAGUCCCGCAACGAGCGCAACCCUUAAGCUUAGUUGCCAUCAUUAAGUUGGGCACUCUAAGUUGACUGCCGGUGACAAACCGGAGGAAGGUGGGGAUGACGUCAAAUCAUCAUGCCCCUUAUGAUUUGGGCUACACACGUGCUACAAUGGACAAUACAAAGGGCAGCGAAACCGCGAGGUCAAGCAAAUCCCAUAAAGUUGUUCUCAGUUCGGAUUGUAGUCUGCAACUCGACUACAUGAAGCUGGAAUCGCUAGUAAUCGUAGAUCAGCAUGCUACGGUGAAUACGUUCCCGGGUCUUGUACACACCGCCCGUCACACCACGAGAGUUUGUAA
rnacentral:rRNA from 1 species